rnacentral:rRNA from 1 species
CCUACGGGGGGCAGCAGUGAGGAAUAUUGGUCAAUGGACGAGAGUCUGAACCAGCCAAGUAGCGUGAAGGAUGACUGCCCUAUGGGUUGUAAACUUCUUUUAUAAAGGAAUAAAACGAGGCACGUGUGCCUUUUUGCAUGUACUUUAUGAAUAAGGAUCGGCUAACUCCGUGCCAGCAGCCGCGGUAAUACGGAGGAUCCGAGCGUUAUCCGGAUUUAUUGGGUUUAAAGGGAGCGUAGAUGGGUUGUUAAGUCAGUUGUGAAAGUUUGCGGCUCAACCGUAAAAUUGCAAUUGAUACUGGCAGUCGUGAGUACAGUGGAGGUAGGCGGAAUUCGUGGUGUAGCGGUGAAAUGCUUAGAUAUCACGAAGAACCCCGAUUGCGAAGGCAGCUUACUAAACUGUGACUGACAUUGAUGCUCGAAAGUGUGGGUAUCAAACAGGAUUAGAUACCCUGGUAGUC